ACAGCCAUACCUACAGCAUACAGAACUUCCUGGUUGAAUUCGGAUGCAGGCAGAGCGUACAGCACAGCCACAGAAACAUCUGCAACCUAUACCCCGGCUCAUGGCAACUCUGGAUCCUCAACCCACUGAGCAAGGCCAGGGAUCAAACCCAUAUCCUCAAAGACACUGCAUUGGAUUCUUAACCCACUGAGCCACAAUGGGAACUCUCUUUGUUGUCAAUUUUAAUUUAGAAAUCUGUCAAAGUUACUGGAGUAAGAGAUCGCAUAAAUAAUUUCUCCUCCAAAUAUUUAUUUACUAUUACAAGAUAACUUCUAAUUGUUUUAAAAUGUGGAAAAUAUCAAUCAUAUCCCAAAAAACCCACUUUUAAACAAAGCUAAUAUCAAUGAAAUACACCAGGGAGUUCCUGUUGUAGUACAGUUGGAAACAAAUCUGACUAUUUACCAUAAGAAUUCGGGUUCGAUCCCUAGCCUCGUUCAGUGGGUGAAGGAUCUAGUGUUGUCGUGAGCUGUGGUGUAGGUCGCAGACAGGGCUCGGAUCUGGUGUGGCUGUGGCGUAGGUCAGCAGCUACAGCUCUAAUUCAACUCCAGCCUGGGAACUUCCAUGUGCCACGCAUGGAGCCCUUGAAAAAAAAAAAAAAAGAAAGAAAAGAAAUAUACCAUAUUUUUGAGACUAAAAAUGUAGUGCCUUGACAGCAACUUUUGCGAUGUGAAAUAAAGACACAAACUAGAUCACUUAAGAUAUUUGUGCACUUCCCCAACUCCCCCACCCACUCUAAAUCUGAAUGGGAAUGUGGCAUCUGAAUUUUUCUACAAAGCUGCUAUGUAAACUUAGUGCUCUGAUGGGAAGAACUAAAAUAAACAUUUUCAUUGUGGGACAUUCUCUAUGAAAUUGUUAACCACAUUCAGCAAUAACUCUAAGUGCCUGGCCUACUGCGUGUAAUUUACAAGGAUGUGUCUUGAGAACCAAUCUCAGAAAAAGGGACAAUCUCAAUUAUCAAAGUACACAGGACCAAGAGUACCUGGGAUAAUCUGACAAAUUAAUAAAACGUGAUGGGUAGAUGACUGGAAAGAUGAUACUCAUAUGAUGCUUUAAGAGUUCCACAUACAGUCACUGUAAAACAUUAACAUAACAGUCAACCUUAAAAGGAUGAAAAAAUUUGAUGGAGUUCCCAUCGUGGCUCAGUGGUUAACGAAUCUGACUAGGAACGAUGAGGUUGCUGGUUCGAUCCCUGGCCUCGAUCAGUGGGUUAAGGAUCCAGCCUUGCCAUGAACUGCGGUGUAUGUUGAAGAGGUGGCUUAGACCUGGCUUUGCUGUGGCUGUGAAGUUAACUUUUUCUGGUGGAGGGAGAGAAGAGAACUGUAUCCACAUAGCAAGUAACACAUAAUGCCUCCACAUAGCAAGGAGGGUGGGAAAAGACUUUCAAAUCAUUACUGAAAUAAUGUCACUUCCUUGCUCCAAAACCCUGAAUGGCUCCUCCUUGCUCCUAGAAUGAAAUCCAAACUCUACCAUAGUUGACAUGACCCCACAUCAUGUGGAUCUCCCCAGCGCACAGCCUGUGUUCCUGCUGCUCUGUCUGUGAUGCUCUUUCCAGGGAUGUGUGGUGAUUUUCACUUUCUCGCCUUUGCUUAAAUGUCCUUUUAAGUCUUCUUUAAGUUCCCCUCACCUAAGUGUUCUCCAUCACAGCACUGUUAAUUUCUCUCCUUCGAACCAAUACAACCUGUACUUACUAGUCCUCUAACCUGGUUACUGUCUAUACUGCCUACUAAAACUCAGGCUAUACAAGCCCGAGGCCAGGUCUGUUUCCGCUGCCCACAGAGCCUAGCACACGAAAGACACACCUUGGAGAUAUUGCCAGUUCAUAUCCAGACCACCUUUGUAAAGCAAAUAUCAUAACACAGCGAGCCACACACAUUUUAUUUUUUGGUUUCCCAGAGCAUAUAUAAGUUACCUUUAUGCUAUACUGCAGUCAAACUGCAACAGCAUCAUGUCUACAAAAAAGUCAUGUACACACCUUAAACAAUAACUAUUGCUAAAAAAGGCUAUCACCUGACAAUGCAGAGUUGCCACAAAUCUUCGAUCCGCAAAAAUCAUGCUAUCUGUGGAUCAUAAUCAAGAAGAAGCACAAUAAAAAGUCUGUGCGCAUUUUAAAUGAAUGUGAUCAGAUUCACUCAUCUGCUGUCACUCUUGUACAGCACUGCUUCCUGAUGAUAAUUCUUUUUGAACUGUGUCCUCUCUAAAACUUUUCUCUAAGUAAAGUCAUUCCAUGCGGCUCUAUCUAUUUGAAAAUGUGCUUCAAUGUCUUUUUCUACAGAACUUACUUGGUUCCAUCCCACAUUAGUUUUCCAUCUAUCAAUUUAAACAGAUACAAACACCCAAUGUCCAGAUCUUAUACAUAAACGGCCAUGAUUCAACGCUGGUAGAUCCACUUGGACUUCUCAUUGACUCUGUCCUUUUAAAAUUUAGUACUGACACAGGUCACUACAGGCAAGUCAGAUGUGACACCUGUGGUAAACACAAUGCUGAAUGCCAUGUGAGAGGUGGGUAAUAUCAUCCCUUUAUUUUGACCUGGUAUUUCACUUUGUUAGGUACAGGUUCUUUAGAAGGCAGAUAGAAAUCAGUUUUUGCUACAUUGUUAAUUAUUAGGGAGGGAGUUCCCAUUGUAGCACAGCUGAAAUGGAUUUGACAAGUAACCCUGAGGUUGCAAGUUCGAUCCCUGGCCUCGCUCAGUGGGUUAAGGUGUAGUCACGGAUGUGGCUUGGAUCCUGCAUAGCAUUGCUGUGGCCAUGGCACAGGCCAGCAGCUGUAGCUCUGAUUCGACACCUAGCCUGGGAACCUCCAUAUGCCUAGAAUGCGGCCCUAAAAAGCAAAAAAGUAUUAGGGAGCAGUAUAUUGCUCCAGGUAGUAAAACCAGGUGAUAACUUUUAAUUGUGUUUGGCAUAUGAAACUUUGGCCUUGUAGGACUUUCCCGAGUGAGCCGUCACCGUGGUCUUCCCACAAGUAUAUCAUCUAUGCUGUGUGGCAUGCACGCUACACAAUCCAGAAUCACUUGCAUGUACUUUUCAAGAAAGGAGCCAUUAGCAUACAGCAGUUCCUGGAUUACAGAGCUCAGACAAGGAGCUUUGAUGAGCUUCUCAGCCUAUAGGGCAGGAAGUUUCCCAAAGGAUUAGAAGCAUAUUCUGACACCAGUUACUAGGGGUUUUGUUUCACUUUAGAGCAUGGCUGUGUAAGGGAGGCUGAAUAAGAAUGGGCUUAUUAUCACCAGCUUCACUCCACUGGUGAUGGGGAAUGUGUCAGAUGUCUCAGGCGGGUGCCAACAUCACCAACAUAACCCCCUCUCUGGAACAGCUCUGGGAUGUGGGGGAACAUCUCCAGGAAACCCAAUUUACUUAGUGCCCCCGGAUCCACUACCAAUUGUGGGCAAACAAUAAUCUUAGAAAGCCAAAACACGUGAUUCGAAAGCAUUGCUAUGUUCUGUAUACAUCUUCUCAGUCUUGCCCGCAGCACUCUUUUGUAUCAUACUGCAGUCCAGAGCUUCGCUAUGACUCCAGGAAGGUAAAAAUUGCCAAAUGCGCUUGGGCAACAACUCAGAAAGACCGCCAGCAAUGGACAGCCCUAAAAUGCAACAGAAACUGCCUCAGCUCUUUCCAUUUUUUUUCUGAAGAGGGUAAUGAGGAUGUUCUGUUAAACUAGCAAACCAAAUUAGGUUUCUGUGUUUGUAUUUUAACACACAUGUAUUGUUUAUCUCCCGUCUCUUGGACAAGGUAGAGAUGCAAGACAUAAUCCCUGCUCUCAAGGAACUUAAAGUCUACCCAGAAAGAACAAACCGAAGGACACUGGGGACAGAUGCUGCUUCUUUUCAAGUAGCUGGAGUGUUACUCAAGGACCACAAAUGACUCCAAUCUUCUAGAAACUGUUCAUUCCAUCGUCAAGUUCAGGCUACCAGGCUUCCAAAAUGCACGCACUCCACUUAGGACUUCAGUUCUAUCACCUUUCUCUACAACCAUGUUCAAAAAACACAUCUCCCUUUCUUGCCUUUCCACUUGUUUCCUCUCAGUCUACAAGCACUCUUAACUUUACACUUUAAAGCCACAGGAAAAACUCCCUUGACUCUCCCUAGGGCUUGCCACUCUCCUCCCACUUUGUGUCUUUUUCUAGGUCCUCUCAGCUUUCCCAGGCUUCAUCUGUAGCAUCCUCAGAGCACAACUGUCAAUUCCCUUCCCCUCACCAAUGGGGUGUACUUUAUCACCCACUUUCCAAUCUAACAGAGACACUCAAGGCCAAUUCCAGCCUCAGGACCCUGCCAGACCAGCUCUGACUCAAUGUGUAGAAACCUAAACACAUGAGCGUCAUGACACCUGAAGCACACUUUCAAAUGGUUCCACAAAGUAAACAUAUAAGAUAAGACAGACAAAGCAAACAUGAUGAAACUUUAACAGCUGAUGAAUCAAGGCGAAGGCUAGGAGGUCCCUGUUGUAUUCUUUCACUUCCUCUGUAGUUUGAAACUUUUCAAACAGGAGUUCCCUGUGGCACAAUGGGAUCGGUGACAUCUCUGCAGCACUGGGACAAAGCUUAACCCUCAGCACAGUGGGUUAAGGAUCCAGCAUGGCUGCAGCUGUGUGUGGGGAGGUCUGCAACUGCAGCUCGGAUCUGAUCCCUGGCCGAGGAACUUCAUGUGCAAUGGGGCAGCCAAUAAAAAGAAAACAAAUAAACAAAAAGUUGUUGGGAGAGGAGUUUCUGUUGGGGCUCAGCGGUAAUGAAUCUGACCAGUAUCCAUGAAGACUCAGGUUCCAUCCCUGGCCUUGAUCAGGAGGUUAGGAUCAGGUGUUGCCAUAAGCUGUGGUGUAGGUCACAGAUGCAGAUGCGGCUCAGAUCCAACAUCGCUGUGGCUGUGGUCUAGGCCUGCAGCUACGGCUUUGAUUCAACCCCUGGCCUGGGAACUUCCAUAUGCCACAGGUGACGCCAUAAAAAGAAAAGAAAAAAAAAUUGUUGGAAGGAAAAAACAAUGUAGGAUCAGAAUCAAAGACAGAAAUAAUGGUCCGUGGCUUUUAGGGAGUUUAUAAUCUAAUUCGUCUAAUCUAAAAGUUGGCUGGGUAGCUCUGAGAGUUCAAUGGCAUUAAUAAUCAGCUUAACUGUGUAAUCAAAAUGCAAAUAUUUACUGAGGGCCUACUAAGUGGUAGCAAUAUGUUAGGCACCGUAUGUGGUUAACAAAGCAGAACAUUAAACCUUGGAAGCAGGACCCCAUCUCACUCAAGCCAGUCCAUCCAGUCUAUAUACCUGCCUCAGUUACUUUUUUUUUUUUUUUUAGGGCCCCACCCGUGGCAUAUGGAGGUUCCCAGGGUCCCAGGGGUCGAAUCAGAGCUAUAGCUGCUGGCCUACGCCACAGCCAUAGCAACACCAGAUCUGAGCUAUGUCUGCGACCUACACCACAGCUCACGGCAACACCAGGUCCUUAACCCACUGAGCGAGGCCAGGGAUCAACCCGAGAAACUUCAUGGUUCCCAGUCAGGUUCAUUUCUGCUAUACCACAAUGGGAACUCUUUUUUUUUUUUUUUUAUUUUUUUUUUUUUUUUCCUGCCUCGGUUACCUCUGUCACAGGCACCACCAUCUUCCACUGCUU
rnacentral:lncRNA from 1 species